UGUCCGUGGACGAUGGCGGCGAUGGCGAGGUACCAAGCGGUGUAGGUGGUCAUGCCGAGGCCGAGGAAGGACCAGAUCCUGUAGUUGUGGAAGGAAGGGAUGAAGACGGUGGUGGCGCAGCAGGCGCCAAAUAUAUAUCACUACUCUCUGUAAAAUACAGAGAUAACUGAUAAGGAGAG